rnacentral:rRNA from 1 species
GAUUAAGUUAUUAAGGGCGCACGGUGGAUGCCUUGGCACUAGAAGCCGAUGAAGGACGUUACUAACGACGAUAUGCUUUGGGGAGCUGUAAGUAAGCUUUGAUCCAGAGAUUUCCGAAUGGGGAAACCCAGCAUGAGUUAUGUCAUGUUAUCGAUAUGUGAAUACAUAGCAUAUCAGAAGGCACACCCGGAGAACUGAAACAUCUUAGUACCCGGAGGAAGAGAAAGAAAAUUCGAUUCCCUUAGUAGCGGCGAGCGAAACGGGAAGAGCCCAAACCAACAAGCUUGCUUGUUGGGGUUGUAGGACACUCUAUACGGAGUUACAAAGGACGACAUUAGACGAAUCAUCUGGAAAGAUGAAUCAAAGAAGGUAAUAAUCCUGUAGUCGAAAAUGUUGUCUCUCUUGAGUGGAUCCUGAGUACGACGGAGCACGUGAAAUUCCGUCGGAAUCUGGGAGGACCAUCUCCUAAGGCUAAAUACUCUCUAGUGACCGAUAGUGAACCAGUACCGUGAGGGAAAGGUGAAAAGCACCCCGGAAGGGGAGUGAAAUAGAACCUGAAACCGUGUGCUUACAAGUAGUCAGAGCCCGUUAAUGGGUGAUGGCGUGCCUUUUGUAGAAUGAACCGGCGAGUUACGAUUUGAUGCAAGGUUAAGCAGUAAAUGUGGAGCCGUAGCGAAAGCGAGUCUGAAUAGGGCGUUUAGUAUUUGGUCGUAGACCCGAAACCAGGUGAUCUACCCUUGGUCAGGUUGAAGUUCAGGUAACACUGAAUGGAGGACCGAACCGACUUACGUUGAAAAGUGAGCGGAUGAACUGAGGGUAGCGGAGAAAUUCCAAUCGAACCUGGAGAUAGCUGGUUCUCUCCGAAAUAGCUUUAGGGCUAGCCUCAAGUGAUGAUUAUUGGAGGUAGAGCACUGUUUGGACGAGGGGCCCCUCUCGGGUUACCGAAUUCAGACAAACUCCGAAUGCCAAUUAAUUUAACUUGGGAGUCAGAACAUGGGUGAUAAGGUCCGUGUUCGAAAGGGAAACAGCCCAGACCACCAGCUAAGGUCCCAAAAUAUAUGUUAAGUGGAAAAGGAUGUGGCGUUGCCCAGACAACUAGGAUGUUGGCUUAGAAGCAGCCAUCAUUUAAAGAGUGCGUAAUAGCUCACUAGUCGAGUGACACUGCGCCGAAAAUGUACCGGGGCUAAACAUAUUACCGAAGCUGUGGAUUGUCCUUUGGACAAUGGUAGGAGAGCGUUCUAAGGGCGUUGAAGCAUGAUCGUAAGGACAUGUGGAGCGCUUAGAAGUGAGAAUGCCGGUGUGAGUAGCGAAAGACGGGUGAGAAUCCCGUCCACCGAUUGACUAAGGUUUCCAGAGGAAGGCUCGUCCGCUCUGGGUUAGUCGGGUCCUAAGCUGAGGCCGACAGGCGUAGGCGAUGGAUAACAGGUUGAUAUUCCUGUACCACCUAUAAUCGUUUUAAUCGAUGGGGGGACGCAGUAGGAUAGGCGAAGCGUGCGAUUGGAUUGCACGUCUAAGCAGUAAGGCUGAGUAUUAGGCAAAUCCGGUACUCGUUAAGGCUGAGCUGUGAUGGGGAGAAGACAUUGAGUCUUCGAGUCGUUGAUUUCACACUGCCGAGAAAAGCCUCUAGAUAGAAAAUAGGUGCCCGUACCGCAAACCGACACAGGUAGUCAAGAUGAGAAUUCUAAGGUGAGCGAGCGAACUCUCGUUAAGGAACUCGGCAAAAUGACCCCGUAACUUCGGGAGAAGGGGUGCUCUUUAGGGUUAACGCCCAGAAGAGCCGCAGUGAAUAGGCCCAAGCGACUGUUUAUCAAAAACACAGGUCUCUGCUAAACCGUAAGGUGAUGUAUAGGGGCUGACGCCUGCCCGGUGCUGGAAGGUUAAGAGGAGUGGUUAGCUUCUGCGAAGCUACGAAUCGAAGCCCCAGUAAACGGCGGCCGUAACUAUAACGGUCCUAAGGUAGCGAAAUUCCUUGUCGGGUAAGUUCCGACCCGCACGAAAGGCGUAACGAUUUGGGCACUGUCUCAACGAGAGACUCGGUGAAAUCAUAGUACCUGUGAAGAUGCAGGUUACCCGCGACAGGACGGAAAGACCCCGUGGAGCUUUACUGUAGCCUGAUAUUGAAAUUCGGCACAGCUUGUACAGGAUAGGUAGGAGCCUUUGAAACGUGAGCGCUAGCUUACGUGGAGGCGCUGGUGGGAUACUACCCUAGCUGUGUUGG